AUUGAACGCUGGCGGCAGGCCUAACACAUGCAAGUCGAACGAGUGGCGGAAGGUUGCGUAAUGUCUUGGAAACUGCCUGAUGGAGGGGGAUAACUACUGGAAACGGUAGCUAAUACCGCAUACCAUCAGAUGUGCCCAGAUGGGAUUAGCUAGUAGGUGGGGUAACGGCUCACCUAGUCGACGAUCCCUAGCUGGUCUGAGCGGAUGACCAGCCACACUGGAACUGAGACACGGUCCAGACUCCUACGGGAGGCAGCAGUGGGGAAGAUUGCACAAUGGGCGCAAGCCUGAUGCAGCCAGGCCGCGUGUAUUAAGAAGGCCUUCGGGUUGUAAAGUACUUUCAGCGGGGAGGCGUUACCCGCAGAAGAAGCACCGGCUAACUCCGUGCCAGCAGCCGCGGUAAUAC
rnacentral:rRNA from 1 species